rnacentral:tRNA from 1 species
GCUUGAAUAAUUUAAUUAAAAUAUUGAUUUGUGAAUUCAGUAAUAUGGGUUUUAUCUCAUUUCAGGCC